AUUGAACGCUGGCGGCAGGCUUAACACAUGCAAGUCGAGCGGAGUGAUGGUGCUUGCACUAUCACUUAGCGGCGGACGGGUGAGUAAUGCAUAGGAAUCUGCCUAUUAGUGGGGGACAACAUCUCGAAAGGGAUGCUAAUACCGCAUACGUCCUACGGGAGAAAGCAGGGGAUCACUUGUGACCUUGCGCUAAUAGAUGAGCCUAAGUCGGAUUAGCUAGUUGGUGGGGUAAAGGCCUACCAAGGCGACGAUCUGUAGCGGGUCGGAGAGGAUGAUCCGCCACACUGGGACUGAGACACGGCCCAGACUCCUACGGGAGGCAGCAGUGGGGAAUAUUGGACAAUGGGGGGAACCCUGAUCCAGCCAUGCCGCGUGUGUGAAGAAGGCCUUAUGGUUGUAAAGCACUUUAAGCGAGGAGGAGGCUCUUUUGGUUAAUACCCAAGAUGAGUGGACGUUACUCGCAGAAUAAGCACCGGCUAACUCUGUGCCAGCAGCCGCGGUAA
rnacentral:rRNA from 1 species